rnacentral:lncRNA from 1 species
CGAGCCUUGUCCAUGCCAGAUGGCAGGAUGUCAUUUCCCUGAUGUUUUUUCCAUAGACAUGGUCGUGUAGCCUUUCGAGAGCUAUACAUACGUUGGCUAACUGAGAUGGUUGCAGUGCCAGACUUUAAUAAAUGUUUUUCUUCUCCACAAGAUUCGAGAGAGAUUACACUCGUACGAAGUCAAAGGAAGUCGAAGACAGUCAAGAAAUACGAAGACUAAAAACAGAGAAAAUGGUUUUAAGACAUCGUGUUGAUGCCUUGGAAGAUGUAAGAAAAUUAUUAAAACUCAUGUUCACUUCUGUUCACGGUGGCAACAGUUAGUUUCUGUACUAUGGCUCAGCACAAACUCGGGAUUAACAGUGGCGGAUAUUCACUUUUUCCAGUGGAGGGGCAAAGCCUCCAAAAUUUCCGACAAAACUUUCAAAUUUCCGACAAACCCCCCUAUUUGCACUCGAAAAAGCUGUUUUUAGCCCUCUUUUAGGUCAAAAUUUCCGAAAAUUCGUCAUUUUCCGUGAAGGGGAGCUGUCGCCCAUGGUGAAGGUCAUGAUGGGGAGGUGGGUGGUCGCGAAGGUACCUAUGUACAACUAUACCCAUGUUUCCCAGAUCUUUGCAAACACGGUAAUAUUUUCUGGAAAUAUUACCAAUAAGUAUAUAUUUGGUCAAUUACAACAACAGAGCCUGAUUGUGGCAUACCCUUUCAUACAGUUUGACAGGGUGGGAUUAUUCGCGUACUUACGUACCGGAGGUACGCCAAUAUUACGGUCUGGUACUUCUUUCUUGUCAACCAAGUACUACGUAGGUUACGCGGAACUCCUGCUAUAUCUGCGUCAGGGUGUUAGCCAGGCGGCCGUCCGACCGUCCUACGGACAGCCACUUCUUAAUUCGGACGGCUAAAUUUUAAUGGACGGCCAAAGGGAAUAUUUUCUUUAAAUAGCAAUUUACAAGCUUUGUAAUAUUUCCUGAAUACUUCGAAUUGUUGUCAUCUCCUGUUUACUUUACUUAUGGUAUAUGUUUUUAUACUUUUUCCCGACGAAAACACGUUGAAUACGGCUGAAUUGAAGUAUCGACAGACGCGUGUGGAUCGAACAGUAAAAAGGUUCAACGAAUAGAACACCACAAUUCCACAACAACAAAAAAUUGCGGCCAUGCCCAAAAACAUGUGAUCACACCCACAAAAGUGUGUGGCCACGCCCACAAAAUUAUUUUGGACGGCCACUUUUGAAAUCCUGGCUAACACCCUGAUUUGCGUACUGACGUUUUGCUGGUGCCAUAUGACUUUCCAAAUCCAAGGUAUUCAAAGCCGUAUUUAAGUCGGUACAUGUCUGACAUGUCUUGGCAUGAAACAUGAUUCCACUAAGGAAUGUUAGAGUCGAAUGUAGUGGUGCUAUAUGUAAUUGUGCUACCUGCUAUAACUUUUCAGGUUACUGAAUGAAUACCUUUCAGAAAUCUGUGCUUUAUGUACUUCAUUUUAAAACUAAGUGCACCUCCAGUGUUAAGUUUUAACCAGCUCAAGUACGAGGCAAUAAUCAUUGGAGUACUACUAAAAAUCUUGAAUUAUCGCACCUGAUUUGAAGGUUCAAAAAUAAGACAACAACUUCUUUUCUCUUUCAAGGAAUGUGAAGCAUUGGCCGACAAAUUGGUCCAGG